rnacentral:lncRNA from 1 species
UUUUGAAGGUAGAGAAAAUAAACACAUGUGGUCAGUGUACCAUAUUUAAUCUGAAGUGUAGAUUUAAAUUGUAGUAAUGUGUAGGAAAUAAAAUUUCUCUAGCAUUAUUCUGUAAUUCAUUCUUUCCACUCUCUAAUGAUUUUUAAUUAAUAUGAUUUUACUGUACUACCUACCUCAUAGGGUUGUUGUGAGGAUUAGAAGAAUCAGUACAUAUGAAGCUAUUAGAACAGUGCCUGGCACAUAGUAUGCGUUAAUACAUAUUAGCUAUUAUUAAUAUUGUUUUCAUUAUUACCACUAUCACUUUUAAUUCAGUAACCUGUUUAGACUUGAGUAAAGAUGUUUUCACCAAAGGAAAAAUUAUUGAUAGAUGGGGAAAUCUGGAGUUUGAUAUCCCUGAUCCUACAUUUAACUAGACUUGAAAUGUUUAGGUGUUAAAUGCUUGACCUUACAUUUAACUAGACUUGAAAUGUUUAGGUGUUAAAUGUUUAGGUGUUAAAUGCUGACUCAGACACAUUAAAACCUUAAAAAUCCAAUCAUUGAUAGUUAAUCUAAAAGUUUUAUAAAAUAUGUAAUAACAAUUUUGAUGUACCUUUAAGCUUUAUUGGUAUUGUGUUUUAUUUUGAUCAUCUUAAUAUGAAGUAUAAAAGUCAAAACUAUGAGAUGAUGUUUACUGUGUCUUACAGCCACAGUAUUGAUAUUUACAGCCAGUAGAUUUGAUACUCUUUGAAUAUGUAGAGUAUGGGAGAGAUAGCAGACUCCAGUCACUGUACAAAGGUGUGAAUGUUUGUACACUUUUUAGAAAAUGUUGUGAACUUACAUGAAAAAGAAUGUCUGCCUUUGCUCAAUUAUUUUAAGUAUCUUCUUUGUGUCUUGAUUAAGAGCAUACGAUAACACUGAGUUCUAAUUCUUAGAGAUGAAAUGUGAGCAGGCCAACACUACUCUUCUUAUCAUUAGUGAGUUGCAUACUUUGGGGAAGGAGAUUCUAAUUUUAAGAUUUGCAUUCUCACUCAUUAGAGUUCCAUGGUUGUGACAAGUGGCUGUAAAUAUCAAUACCGCUCGAGAUGAGAAACUUUUAUGCAAAAGGAACGGUGAGUUGCUUAGCGUGAAUAAACCUCUUUGCAAAUUACCAGGCUGACUUUAGUAGGACAGAUGAAACAGGUAGACAUGGCCAGGAUCAAAAGGUACCUGCUAUUAGCUUAAUGCCGGCAUUUCCCCAUCCCUAGAUGUGAAUAUAUUGUCUUUACUUCGUCCUCUUAUUGUUUGCUUUUCUCUUUCUUCUUUGGGACUUUAAUGUUUACAUCUUUGGAACCCUUAUGCUGCCUCUUCUCCAAAUGCAGCAAUAGCUAAUCUACCAUAUUUUCAUAGGAUGGAAUUUCCCCUUUCUGUCCCAUAAUGCGUUCCCCUUCCCUCAAAAUAGUCUUUUGUUGGUUUCUUUGAUGAUAAAACACUUAAUAUGGGCCAGUUGCUUUACCUCAGUUUAGCCUCAUAACAAAGAUGUUAAAGUACAAGAAUACAAGAGCAACCGAGAUACACAGAAACAGGAUUAACUCACAUGUGAUUGAUUAGAAUGAUAAAGGUUUUACUAUAAUCCUGAAACACUAAGCCUUUAAGUCAUGUCUUCAUUUAAUAUUUUAGAUCAUAUACUUCUGGACUAGUGUUAGUUCUUGAUUAAAUAACCCAGGAUUUAUAAAACCCAGAAUUUAUGGACAGGAGGAUUACUUUUUUUUUUUUUUUUUUUUUUGUCUUUUUGCCAUUUCUUGGGCUGCACUCGCGGCACAUGGAGGUUCCCAGGCUAGGGGUCUAAUUGGAGCUGUAGCUGCCGGCCUACGCCAGAGCCAUAGCAACUGAGGGAUCCAAGCUGCGUCUGCGACCUACACCACAGCUCACUGCAACGCCGGAUCCUUCACCCACUGAGCAAGGCCAGGGAUCGAACCCACAACCUCAUGGUUCUUAGUCGGCUUCGUUAACCACUGUGCCAUGACGGGAACUCUAGGAGGAUUACAUUUUGAUUAAUUAUGAUAUACAAGUGAAUUAAUGAACAGGAAUAUUACCAAAUUAAGCAAUUCCUUUGACAUCGGUGAGGGCUAAUGUUUCAGAAUAUCGAAGAUGAAUAAAAUAUAUGACUCUAAUGAAUUUCCUCCCUAGUUUUAUUCUGUCAGUGUGAGUGGAGGAUGCUGCUUUCAAAAGCUGUGCUUUUGAAAGUUGUUAUAAAGACUGUUUGACCCACUUAUAUCUCAAUAUAAAGUAUAUUAUGAUCAGAUUUGGUAGCGUGGGGACAGUUAGGAACAAAGGAGAGAGAAUAGUGUCGUGAAGACAUCCAUGGCCGCCAGGAGAUUUCCCACCCUCUCUUGGUAUUAGUAGCCAGAGGUGGUCAUUUUGGAUGUGAGGUACUAAUUUAGGAAUGAAGAGUAAGGGGUUAUGUGUCAUGAAAAGUAAGGUUUCUAAGAAAGUGUUUCAUUCCCACUUAAGUGCUGUUACCUCUCUCUCCCAGCACUCUGGACUUCACACUCAGAGAGCUAGGUUAUUUCCCACCCAUCUUUUGUUUUAUUUUUUUUAAAGCAAUAUCUGAAUAUGUUCUCUUUAUUAAGUUAUCAUCUAGAUAGUGUGAAUAAAGUGAAAGUUCAACUUGACACUCCCAUUCCCUGGGAUAACCACUCUCUGGUGUGUAUCCUUCCAACAAGGUGGUUUAGUAAAGAGUGGCCCAUCUAUGUGAUAUGGCUGCUAGUAAAGGACGAGGUGACUCCACAUAUUUUUACAAGUAUUUUUCGUGUGUGACAGCAUAAUUCUGACCUUGGCCAUUGUGACCUGGUAGGCAUUCCAGCUCUUUUAUUUUCUUUUUAACCUCUAUGCAAAGAACCACGUGUAUUGAUGGCUUUUUUAGAUAGCUAGAAUGAGGCCAUUUUCUUUUGAAAGACAAUGCUGGAAUUUCAAGUACUUUUCUCUAAUUGUGUGAGUGUGUGUGCAUGCAGUUCUGUAUGUGUGGUUUCCUAGUUGUGGACAAAGCAACUUGGAACCAUUUUGUCUUGAGAGAGAGCUUUAUGUUUAGUUCUACUAUUAUUUGAUUUUACAAGUUUAGCCACAAAGGAUAAAAUAAGUAUGCUGUAGAAGCUACCGUGACUGGGUCAGAAUACAAUUGUGGAGUUUUGUUUGUUUGUUUGUUUGCUUGGUAGCAAUCAAAAGUACAGCCCAGAUUUCUGUCUUGGAAUGUGUACGUGUUUACAUGAGUGAAAACUUCAUUCAACAAAUUUAUAUGGUAAAUGAUAUACCAUAAAUACCUUUUAAGUCUUAUACCAGGGUCAGACUUUGUACUUGAAUUAAAUAGGCAAUUUCUAUUCUAUGCCCUUUUCCUGUGGUAUUUGUGGUUGCUAGGUUGUACAAAUGUUUCACAUGCUUUCAGAAUUGGCAUACCCAGAUGACUGUUGGUGCCCGUUGCCAUGAUGCCCCAUCCUGAGUGAGGCCUUAGAAUACAGGUCCCAUAUACAACUCCUGUUUGACUUUAUUAUUUUGUUUGUUUUCUUGUUUUGCAAUUGUUAGCCGGUGAGAAGUGUGUGUCAGUAAAUACCUCAUGUUUAACAUACAUGACCAUUGGCAAACUAUCUUUUUGGUUUUUUUUCCUUUUGUGUCAACUCUGCCCAGUUAGUUGUGGCUUCUGGGGGUUUUGAGUUUGAGGCUAGGAUCAGCAGAGAAUGGCUGUUGAUUAAUGAUGCUUGCUGUGGGCUUGGUGGGAGAGUGUGGGAAUGAUAGCAAAGCUAUUAUGUCAUCCAGAAUAUAGGGCAAUGAUUAUGGUCUCACUUUACAGAACUUUGCCAGAUUACAUUUUUAAGCACUCACAGUAAACGAAGUUGAACAACUCAUAAUCGAUUCCCUGUUUUUAGUUUCCACUAUCACAAGCGUAUGAACUUAAUUAUAUGUAUGUGUGUGUGUAUAUAUAUGUGUGUUCAUGUGUGUAUUUACAUUUAUGGCUGCACCCGUGGCAUACGGAAGUUCCCAGGCCAGGAACUGAAUCUGAGCUGCAGCUGUGGCAACGCUGGAUCCUUUAAUCCAGUGUGCCUGGCCGAGGAUCAAACCCAUGACUGUAAAGACCCAAGCCACUACAGUUGGAUUCUUAACCCACUGUGCCACAGCAGGAACUCCUCGUGUGUAUAUAUAUUUUUAAAUGGAAACAAAAAUAACCCCUCAUCUCUCUGUUUAGGCCAAGCAUACAUGUGUGCGUGAGUAGAGCACACCAUUCACCUACUAGCAGUGCCUUUGUAGACUUGAAGAUCUUUGCAACCUCGCCAUGGUGCUCAGGAUGAAAAACAGUGCCAUACGUUUAAAAAAAUUUUUUAAGUAUAAUUUUAGCAAGUGAAAUGCAAUAGCAUACCGGUGCUUUGCAUAAGUCACCUUUUGCAUUUAAAUCACUCUUAGUGUUCACUUGAGAGAAGAGUUUCAUAGUUCAUUUGCGGUUUGGGGUAGGUAGUGAACCUCUUAGACAGGUUGCCCUUCUUUUUGCUGUUUUUGAAAAACACAGUUCACGGCUUUUGAGGGGAAAAUGUACAGAUUGCAAGUUUUCUUUCUUGUUUUUGUGUGUGUCCUUAAAUUUGGCUUGAGUCAGGAAGCCUAGCAAAAUGUACCUAACAGUGACCUAUCAUUUUAUGUCUUCAUAACAGUUUCUUUUGGGGGGACACACGGCUUCCUUAACUAUAACGUUUGCAUCUGUCACUUUCAGUUUGGAUACCUGCAGGUGCUUUUCUUUCUUUGGGGGGAAUCAUGAAGGGAGUAAGGGAAUAGGUAUAAUUUUAGGUGAUGUUUUUAAAUUCAUUACUAGCUUGAUCUAGAAAAAAUAAAAGACUCAUGUGAUUUUUGGUUUUUUGCCCUCUUGUCAAAAUUCUGUAUGUCCGCCCAACCUUUCCUUUUUUAUCAGCUCUGAAUGGCUGCAUGUUAUAAAAAUCAUGGUUGAAUGUUAUAAAAAUCAUGGUUGACUGUUAAGUUUGUUUCUAAGAGCUUUUCAAUAUUGUCUGUAAUUAGCCAAAGAGAAAAUCAUAUGAACUUUUUCAGUUUUAACUUUAUUUUUUUUCCUUCUUACUCUGUCUUUUUCUCUAUUUUUUAAUGGCUCAAACAAAGUUGAAGUUUUUUUUAUUUAGAUGAGGUAUAAUUGAUAUGUAACAUAUUAGUUGCAGGUGUACAACAGAAUUCAAUAUUUGUAAUUUUUUCUCCAGUUUUGAUUGAUGAUCAUAGAGCCUCCCAAAAUAGCCUCCUUAGUAUCUCUGUAUUUGGUAGACUCUUUUGGAAAAGAAAAGAAUCACUUGGGGAGGAUAGGAGUUAUAGGGGGCAUCUAAAUUUAAGAUAGUUUAUAUAUUUAUUCACAAUUUUUUGUUUAGUCAGUAUUCAUUUACUACUUACUAAGUGCUGUGUUGCUAGUAUUCAUCUUUGCUUUCUAAUUCUCCAGCUUACUCAAAACUCACUGCUUUAUUUUUAAUAGUUUAGAUAAAUUGACUAAUUAUAGUUGGCUUUCCUAAAUUUUCACUUUUUUCAUUUAAUUAGUUGAAUCAUACUAAUGAUUCACAUUUGCAUACUAACAUAAAUAAGAAAGCAUUAGGAAAUGACUGUUUUUAAAUAGCUUUUUCUUUGUGUGUAUAAAUAUUUUUGAAAACAUAAACAUGGUUUUUUUUGCCAUUUAAAUGUCUUUAUUUUUGGUUAGUUGUCACUAAUACAUAUAAUGUUUCUUACAACAGGAAUUUGUGAGUUUUUAAAUGAAUAAUUUGUAACUUUAGAAGUUGAAUAAAUUGGAAGUAUUGAAACUGAUAGAAAGCCUAGCCUUGAAAUAAAUCUAGGAAACUAUUAUCAAAAAUGGCUUUGGAUUGAUAUAACUAAGUACUUUAAUUUUGAAACAUUUUCAGAAUAGGACUUUUAUUCCCAGGAAAAAAUAAACUUCAUUAAAAAGUUUAUG